UGUUCGUGUCUCUUCAGGGGAGUGCCUUGGUUUGACCAGCUCAGCCUUUGCAGGUGGAUGCACAAACACUGGGGCAGCUUCAGGAAAGGAAAAUCCACAUUUUUUCAUGGAAAGAAACAGCUGGUUGUCUGCAUCUCCUUAUUUGGGAUAACUGGACUUUGCAAAAUGUGCUCUGCAGAAUGAGCAGCGAGUCCCAAACUCAGCCAGGCAAAACCAGAUAUUUUCCAUCUGCUUCAAGUUUAUCAGCAAGCUGGAGGAUAAGAUCAAUUUUACCCCCAUAAAACUCUUCCAGAAAUGCCCUUUUUGCAGUUUUCAACCCUUUUUCAGGUGGGAACUACAGAUCACAGUAAUUGUCUGGAGGGACUAAAUUAAAUCCCUACAUCCCAUGGAUUUAGGGAUGCAAAAACCCUCAGGAAAGCAGGAACACUGGAGAUUCAGAGAUAUUUUCCUCAGAAAACCUGAGAAUUCUUUUAAUUUCACUUAUUGAUGAGUCCCUAUCAAAGGAUUAAAGAACACCUUUGGGAAGAGAAUCAAAAUAUCCUAAAUAUCCACUUUCUACUUGGGAAACUGGGCAGAUGACAGGAGUUUCUGAUA